GACGAACGCUGGCGGCGUGCCUAAUACAUGCAAGUCGAACGCUGAAGGAGGAGCUUGCUUCUCUGGAUGAGUUGCGAACGGGUGAGUAACGCGUAGGUAACCUGCCUGGUAGCGGGGGAUAACUAUUGGAAACGAUAGCUAAUACCGCAUAAGAGUAGAUGUCGCAUGACAUUUGCUUAAAAGGUGCAAUUGCAUCACUACCAGAUGGACCUGCGUUGUAUUAGCUAGUUGGUGAGGUAACGGCUCACCAAGGCAACGAUACAUAGCCGACCUGAGAGGGUGAUCGGCCACACUGGGACUGAGACACGGCCCAGACUCCUACGGGAGGCAGCAGUAGGGAAUCUUCGGCAAGGGACGGAAGUCUGACCGAGCAACGCCGCGUGAGUGAAGAAGGUUGUCGGAUCGUAAAGCUCUGUUGUAAGAGAAGAACGAGUGUGAGAGUGGAAAGUUCACACUGUGACGGUAUCUUACCAGAAAGGGACGGCUAACUACGUG
rnacentral:rRNA from 1 species